UGAAGAAAUGCCGUACCCACAAAAAAAGUCUAACGUCGGGUACCUCUGAGGAGGCCGGCUGGAGAUACUACUCGAAUAACGAAUUUUCUAGCAUGCCCAAAGAUUGCAAAGAUCUUCGAGAAAAUGGACAAACCAUCACAGGGGUGUAUGAUAUAUACCCCUACAGAACAUUAACCAUUCCAAUAAGUGUCCACUGCGACAUGACCACGAUGGGCGGUGGAUGGACGGCAAUUCAGAAACGCGUAGACGGGUCCGUGAGAUUUAACAGGACCUGGACGGAAUAUAAAAAUG